rnacentral:rRNA from 1 species
AUACGUAGGGGGCGAGCGUUGUCCGGAAUGACUGGGCGUAAAGGGCGUGUAGGCGGCGGUGUAAGUCUGGAGUGAAAGUCCCGCAUUCAAUGUGGGAAUUGCUUUGGAUACUGCAGUGCUAGAGUGCGGAAGAGGUAAGUGGAAUUCCCAGUGUAGCGGUGAAAUGCGUAGAGAUUGGGAGGAACACCAGUGGCGAAGGCGACUUGCUGGGGCGUAACUGACGCUGAGGCGCGAAAGCGUGGGGAGCGAACAGGAUUAUAUACCCUGGUAGUCCACGCGGUAAACGAUGAAUGCUAGGUGUUGCGGGUAUCGACCCCUGCAGUGCCGGAGUAAACACAAUAAGCAUUCCGCCUGGGGAGUACGGCCGCAAGGUUGAAACUCAAAUGAAUUGACGGGG